rnacentral:rRNA from 1 species
ACUCAAAGGAAUUGACGGGGACCCGCACAAGCGGUGGAGCAUGUGGUUUAAUUCGAAGCAACGCGAAGAACCUUACCAAGUCUUGACAUCCUUCUGAUCGGUCAGUAACGUGACCUUCCCUUCGGGGCAGAAGUGACAGGUGGUGCAUGGUUGUCGUCAGCUCGUGUCGUGAGAUGUUGGGUUAAGUCCCGCAACGAGCGCAACCCUUAUCUUUAGUAGCCAGCACUUUGGGUGGGCACUCUAGAGAGACUGCCGGGGAUAACCCGGAGGAAGGCGGGGAUGACGUCAAAUCAUCAUGCCCCUUAUGAUUUGGGCUACACACGUGCUACAAUGGCGUAAACAAAGGGAAGCGAAAUGGUGACAUGAAGCCAAUCCCAAAAAUAACGUCCCAGUUCGGAUUGUAGUCUGCAACUCGACUACAUGAAGCUGGAAUCGCUAGUAAUCGCAGAUCAGAAUGCUGCGGUGAAUACGUUCCCGGGUCUUGUACACACCGCCCGU